GGGAUGUGCUGCUCUCCAAUUUACAUGCAACAGGAGGAGUCCAACGAGGAACAAAGGUUAUUCCUUCUUCCUCCAGCUGCUUCAGGUAGUACUCUAUUAUUUCCUUUCCCUUUUUAAUAUUGCUGGUGUACUGCUUCAUGGCAAUCUUUUCCACUGUGCUUUCAAAACCAAAAAAGGAUUUUAUAUCCAGACUUGCUGACUGCUCAAAACAGGUCCAGUCUUCAUUGUCAGGAUGAACUGUGUAAGAGCAGUGCUCGUUAAUAAUAACUCUGUUAGAGAAGGUUUCAUUGUAGGCUUCUAUAUGCAAAGUCCUUUCCCGUCUGUUCAGAGAAUUCUUCUGGACAAAGUAGACGUAAU
rnacentral:lncRNA from 1 species